CGGCCUACUCCGAGCAUCGUGGCGGCGCGGAGCGCGGGAGGGAGUGCGGCAGGAUGAAGGAUUUUUACUUCUCGGUUAGAUUUACGUUGCUGUGAGGGAAGAGCUGCGCUCUAUGGGUGCUGGGCAAAAACACGGACGUUUGGUCGCGUUCCUCCUCCCGCCCCGCAGAGCCGUGCUGCUGCCGGCCAUGUGCUGCGCUGCGCGGUGCCGUGCGCGUGGCGGCUCCGUUACCCGCAGCAGAAGGCGCUGGAGACUCCCGCCUUAACACCGCGCCAGGGCGAGCGGUGCUGGCCCAGUAGGGCUGUCGGCCCGCGCCCUUCCCGGUGCACGUGUCUCAGUGUGGCUGUGCAGGCCUUCCUCGCCCGGCCCGCGCCACGACGCCAGAGGCUGGGCUGGGACACGAGGGCCGGGACGGAGGGCGGGCGGUGAGGUGGAGCGGGGCGGGGGGAGGGAGGGAGAGAAAGAGCAGCUGUGUGCUCACACUGUGCGCGGGGGUGAGAGGUUGCUUGUGGCCGCAGUGAGGUCUGGGCCAGGGUGGGGGUGGAACGACAAGAUUUUUCAGUGAUUUGUUUUCUUCCACUGCAACAGGGGAAUUACCCCAGUCAAACUUGCCUUUUCUACCUGCUUUGAGUGAUUAUAGGUCGGGAGGCAGGUUUUGGAGUACCCUGCAGUAAUUUCCCUGCUGGCGGGGGGGCAGCGGGAGUUGCUUUGCUGUUAGGUGGAAGCAGGUGCUUCUCCACGCUGUGUGCUUGCCAAGUGUGACCCAGUUCAGAGGCGAAAACGAUGAAAAUUUAAUUGAGUAAAAGGUUGUGGGACAGACCCACUCUUGGUGUAAUAGAUUAUGCCAAAAUAAUUUUUCUUACAUUGGUGUCCCUGGUUCUGGGCUUCUCUUCCUUCCCCAGUAAUGAAAUCCUCAUUUAUACAGGUGAAGUCGUGUACAAAUGCACACCAUGCAUGGAAGUAUCUGUGUUCGUGUGCUUUGCUGCGCCCUAUCUGAAAUAUGGCAUUUUAAAGCCACCACAACGCUUAGUAAUAGUUAUUCCACAGGAAACUUCAGAAGAAUGCAAAUGUCUGUCCAGAUAAUUCUUGUAGUCCCUGCAUCAUUUGGGGUAGUCCUUGGUACCUCAGAUGUUGACUGGAUCUGAGAAGUCAGUCCUUACCCCAAAGGUGUUACAGUUUUGGUGGAAAAUCAGCACGUGUUCGUAGUUUACUGAGCAUGUCCAGAGUGGCGUGCUUCUCUGUAGGGGGCCCAAUAUAAAAAGCAACUCUUUGGAAUAGGGAUUUUUGUAAGGCUAGCUCCACAGUCUGUUUUUUUCCUUGAGCUGGAUAAAGGCAGCAUGUCCACAGCACACCGCCUGCCCGUGCUUUGCUGGAGGCUUGGUGACCUCGCCCUCUGUACAGGAGCAAUGGGCUGGUGUCCUCAGGAGCGUGUGGCUGGGAGUCUGUAAUUGGAAGGGAAUCCUCACAAAAGGAAAUCUGAUUCAUUUACUCUAAAUAUUUAACUGCAAUUUUCUUACUUUAACACCAUCCUAUUUUACUGCACUAUUGCAUCUUGCCUCCAAAAUUAAUAGUUAACCACUGAGAAAGACAGGUCUGGCAGAAUGGAAAUCAGGCAUUAUAUUAUCCCAUGAGUCAUGUGCAUACAGAGAACCAAACAAGUGUCAGCCAAUGGCUUUGAGCCCAAAAUAUGUCAAAGAGGAGAUGUGUAUCUUCAUUUAUAUUAAGUAGAUAGAAAGCGUGUUGCUGUUCCCAUUAAGCUGGUUGGAGCCCUGCCACUGGCUGCGGUGGGAACAGGAUGGGCCCAUGCAGCAGGAGCUGGCUCUGGCUACCUGCACUCACCGUAGUUUCUGUGCAGUAAGGGCAGCUUCUAUUCUAACAGUUGUUCUUAGUUAGCAAGGAGUUUGGAGACCUGCCCUGGUCUAGAUGUGAUUCCUUUCUUUGUCAGGUGAAUUGAUUUCUCCUUUGAAGUAUGAGGAUGCACCGUAGUAAGCAGCAGCACGGCCUUUCAGAGUGCAGAGUAGGGAGAGAGUGACUGACGGGAGGAUCAGCACAGCUCAUUUCCUCAGCAGGGUUUUUGUGAUAUGUAACUAUUUACAUUUUUGAAAGCUGCAUUUAGCAAUUGACCCUGCUUUAUGCAUUCAGACCACUUUAUUUGGCAGAAUUUCAGCGGAAUCAGGGGAAGUCUUUACUGAGUAAAUGUCUCCAAGAUGUGACUUGUCCCUCAGGAAGAGGGGAUGAUACGAAUAGCAGUGAUACACCCCAACCGGGGACUGGGACAUCAGGGCUGCUGCUGAACCGCUGCUGGUCAGUGGGUAUCACAUGCCUGAGCUUUCACAUACAGCCAUACGCUCAUCUGUUGCAUACAUGUUUUGUUUUUGUUGUGUUGUCAUUGUAUGUUAGGUCUUAAUUCUCCUUUGUGGGGCAGAAUUCAGUUUCAUGUGGGGAUUGGAGGCCUGGAAACGUAUACUCACUGACUUCAGAAAAAUCAUUUUCACGUUUUUAUUGAUGUGCCAGUUCAGUUAAAAUACUGUUGGUAAAGUUGGGCUGAAAUGAGUAUUUGUUGUUGACUCAUAAUUGUACAAAUUAGGAUUAAGCCUUCUCAUAAAGUAGUAUAAAAUCUGGAAGUCUGUGUGCAAGUGCUGCUUGCUUUGUUCCAGUCAGCAGCUCUCCUCUGUUUACUGGAACUCAGGCUCAGUACCAAAAAAAUGGGACUGCUGGUGUUCUCAUACAGGCAUCCUCAGCAGUUUUUGACCUGCAGUUGGUUACAGGAUUGACUUGUUUGCAGUGAAACAGGUGAGGUGGGAUUGCUUCUGUGUGCAGUGGAAGUAAGGCUUAGAGUCCCUAGUUUUGAUUUUAAGAACGGGUUAUUUGGCUCACUAAGUGAGGCAGGGAUAUAGCAAAAGUAUUGGCAGUAUUUAUUUCAAAAAGUCAUAGUGCAAUUACCACAUGAAAGCACCAAGUUUUUAUUCUAAGUGGACAUGUAGGUCAUGUAAAUACAGCUCUGGCUGUACUGCUUUUUGUUUACAUUGUGGGCAACAACAUUUGCAAAUAUCGCAUCAAGAAUUCUGAGCCGAUACAACUAACUUAAAAACAGCCUUUGCUAAGGCAGAUUCCAAGUGAAUAUUUCAUGAGAGCUGUAACAAUGUGUGGGUCACUCCAUAAUCUGUGGGUGCCAUUUGUGCUUUUGGUUAUCUUUUGUAAUUUGAUGGUUGAAUGGUGUUGGAAAUUGGAAUUUUUACCUACCAGUAACAUAACUAGCUUUUUAAUGCUUGUGUGUGAACGAUUUCCUUAAAAUUAUAAACAGUGACAGAAGUUUGGUGAUCUUGUUGGUGUAGGCUGUGCUAUGCAGGAGCUGGGCAUGUCUGCAGUGCUCUGUCUGUGACCUGAGUUAGCCCUGCAAGAGCUCAUGGGCCACGCUGAGGGUUUUUGUAUGCUUUUUGCAGCAGGUGAUGUUUGCUCUUCUCUUUCUGCAGCUGUAGGAAAAAAAUCAAAUAAUGAGAAUGUUUUAGGGCUCAUGUGAGCAGUAGGUAUUUUGGUAUCUGUGUUCCUGCUUGUCACUGAGGGUGUUCCUUGAAGGCUUGCACACUGCAGUGCCGGACGCCUUCCCUGUGGAUUGCAGUUGUCCUCUCAUGCCGUCACUACGCGCUGCUGGUUACUGAGGGAGAGCUCCCUGGGCGUGCUGCUGCUGGGGAGGAGCUCUUGGUGCUCUUGGUGCUGCUGGCUCUGUGGGCCGUGGUGGGGCUGAGGUGGGAGCUGUGCUGCCGGCUCUGGCCUGCGACCUGCAGUGUUCAGAAGAAAAUGGGAUAUACCGAGGGGAGGUUAGAAAAGAGAAAAGGCAGACAGCAGCUGUUGAGGUGUAGGGGCGAGAAGAUUCAGAGUUGAUGCUGCUGGCAGCAGGCCUAACUGGAGUGGGAGCAAGGCUCCAAAGGAGGGGGAUCCAGGCCAGGGGACAGCGAGAGGUAUGACAGCUUCUGUUUGAAGACCCAACACUUGCAUAGGGCUCCAGCCAGAGCCUGAUGGGUGCAGUGUGAUGGCAGGCAGGCAGUAGGCAUGCUGAGGUUGCUAUUUUGUUAGCUUUCAUGCUAUAUAACAUCAUCUGUUUAUUUAGAAAAGCGUGUUUUUCACCCCAGUCGGAGUCAUUUCCCGUGAAAAGCAAAGCUCUCUUGCUGGGAGGACUGCUGGGUUCUGUGAAACACUAGAGCGACCAGAAAAGUUACAGAAAAUUUUGAAACAUAGGGGAAUCCUUCCCUGCAUUUCUUCCAUCACCCACAUACGUCCCAGAAUGCCAGUGUGAUAGGGGAGAGCAGGGCAAGGAUACAGUUCAUGUCUGGGCUGUGUGCACGUCCUGGGCAGCUGUUUGUGAUGUCCAGUGUGGGCUGUACCCCCACCAACGUGUGCAGCUGCUGGCACAUACCACCAAAGUGUGGCACAUCAGCUUUUAUAGACAAUUUGUUAGUUAGAGUUGAAAAUGCAAAGCUACUUCUGAUCUUAGAGUAGCAAACUUGCCCUGUAAGCAACUUUCUAGAUUUCACGUAUGACUGCAUUAGUAGAGUCUAUAAUCUGUUGGCAGUUACGGCUGCUAGAGCUUUGCAAUUUCGUUAAUUUUAUGUGCUAAUAAAUGGCUCAUGGGCAGCUCGCUCUUACCAACCAAGGCACUAGUACUGACUAAAGAAUCAGGAGACUUAAUGAAAGAGAAUGAAAUGUGGAGAUCUUUUUGUUCAACUUCAUCUUUUGCUCUUCUAGCUUAGUGCACUUGAGUGAGGUUUUCAAGUUUUUCGUUAUAUUCGUGCUCUUUAAUAAAAACAUACUGAUUCUCAUGAGGCUGGGGGGACAUCGUUUGCCUUGAGAACUGUAGUCAGGUUGUAAGUUGUCGAUACUGCUGUGUGUCGUCCUGCUAGCAGGGCUGAGCUGAUGGCUGUGAAUUGGGCAGCAUGCAUCUCUGUGCAGUGCUGCGGAUACCCUGGGGCUCCAGCCUCCAGCUGGUCAGCAUCACACAAUUGCUACUAGUGGGUGGUGAGAAACACCUGUGAGGGGAGCACUCUCAUCCCAGGUGUGCCGGGUGCUGGCAGGCAGGGGCUGGUUGUGUGUGCCAGGCACCAAACAGUCACAGAGGGCAACAAGCCCAGGCUACCUUAACUGCAAACGAGUGACUCAGCUGUUUCUGCAAAGUUCGGAGUUUCAGCAGAAUAUUUCUUUUUCCGCUAUGCUGACAGCUUUUCCACCCACGUAUUGCAAACGUGGCUUUGUGCCAUGGAUGUAUUUUAGGAUUAUAAAGCGUAGUGUAAAUUUUUAGAGUUACAUAUGAAAAAAGGUGCCUUCUGGAUCUCGAAAUAUGUAGGUUGUAUGUAGACUGGGGGAGUAGGGGAGCUCUUUCUAAAACCUAAGCCUUGGAGGAGAUAGAUCCCCAUCUGUCAAUUCUGUUUUUAUUUAUUCCACUGAAAACCAGGCAGUGUGUUCAGACGUCCUGUAUCUACAGAAAUAGAAUGCUCUGAAAUCCCCCAGAGUUUUGGCAGAGCUUUUAUUGUGGGCAGUUACUCAUUCACACACCUGGUACGUACUGUUGGUCCUGUUAUUGUAAGGCAUUCCCAAACAGUCCUGCAGGGAAAAUAAACUGCAGAGAGAUAUACAGGAAAUUAACCAUAAUAAAACGCAAAAGGUUUCUUAAUCUGUCAAGUGUAUUGCAGUAUUCAGUGAGUUACUGUACUCAGCUGAAGGUGAAAUUGGAUGGAGUAUGUCUGUGAUGUUACUGCAGCUCAUUGAGACACAUGCAGAUACAGCCAGUGUACACCAAGCCGGUCCUUUGCCUGUCCUUGCUGUCAGUCUGGGACCUCUGCAUGGAUCAGGCAUGGCAGGGCUGAUUGUGGGGGAGGACAGCCAGGAGCUGGGGUCAUGCUCGGUCAUUUCUGUGCUCAGGCAGCCAGCUGUGGAAUCCAAAGGUUUGCUCUGUUGUCACAAAUUUUUUAUGCCACAAAUGCUGAUGAGGCAGCAAAAGCCGCUAUCAAGGGCCUCACCACAUCAUGGGAAUAGAGAAGAGAAAGAGCAGAGAUCCAGAGAAGUGCUGUUAGUGACCAGUAACCGCCAGGGCAUGGCGGAUGGCUCUUGUGAAGCUGGCAAGGCCACGGCUUCUCUAGACUCUCUGUCAGCUGGAGGGGCAGUAAUUCAUUGGUGAUGUCUGCAGCAGUCCUCAGCUCGCUUUGCUUGUUGGAUUUUGGGGUUUGGGUCUCUGUUUUGUUUUGGUCUUUUAUGAAGUUACUUCCAAAGAAAAGAUAUAAUAGAAUAUGACAGCAUAUAUAUUAAGCAUAAAAGCAUUAUGUUCCUCUGGGAGCUGUUGGAGGAGAAGCAGCCGAGCCACUGAAAUGCAACCCCACCGCUGCCAUGAGUGCCUGUCGGCAGGUCAGAUCUCUGCGGUCAUGCUGGGUGGGUCUUGGGGAACCAAAGGGACAAGUGACUUUUGUCCCUGGCCAGCAGGAAGCCACCAGGCACAGAGACAAGCUCUCCCUGUUUCACCCUCAGGCUGCCAGCGGGCCAGGAAACAAGUCCUGCCAGCACCUUGCACUGUGUGCUGUCAUGCUGUCCGCGUCACAACAGGGCAGCCUGGCUCCACCACUGCUCCUUCAGGGUCACAAGGAAGGGAAACAGUCCUGCUCCAUUGCUGGAGCACUGGCUUGGCAGCCUUUAUCUGUAGGCUGAGAGUGGGGAUUUGUGAGCCUGAAAUUCAAAGUGAGACUGGUGGAUGUGAGUGCCAUGGGAACCAGAGCAAGCUGGAGGUUUACACGGAUCCCCGCAGGGUUAGGGCUGCUGAGUUUCAUAUGGUGCUAGAAAAAAACAGUGUCUCUGGAAUAAAAAUCUGUCUGUGUCUCGAGGCAGCUGUGGGCACCUCCAGCCAGCACCUGAUUCACUCGCGAACAGUUACCUGCGAGGCAUCUCAGCUGGCAGACACUUGUCCGAGGCGCCGGAGGCUGCAUGGGCUGUUUUCAGUUUAAUCUAUUUUUAAUGUGGCGCCUUAUUCCAAACUGCUGAGUUCUCACAUUUCCAAGCCGUCGUGGUAAUAGGAUUGUGCAGCCUUAUUGGCUAGAGUUUUCCACCCCCAGUGCCAAAAGUUAGGCUCCUAAAUCCAUAUUUAAAUGCCUAAAUGAGGCUGACGAAUCCUGCAGGAGUCAGUAGGAACUGGACGUGGUCUGCACCUUGGAAAAUAACCAGGCUAUUGGGUGUGUGAGCAACGCCUUGCUGUAGGCACCCAGAUGUUGUGUUUUUAUCCAGAAUGACUGUGUGUGUCAGUGUGAAGGAGGGAGGUGAGAUUAGUGCAAACAGGAGCUUUGUUGGGAAUUUGGAAACGGGAUACACUGAGAAUCAUAGCAGGUGCCCAUCUCUUGCGUUGGCUUCAUGUCUGCACUACUUCCGUACCCACGAUCUAACACUGCGUAUUUUUACUCUGCUACCUUCUUCUGCUAUUUCUAUUUGUAGCACCCUGCUAGACUUGUUUCCAAGCCAAUCCAAAAUUCUUCUGAAACUCCCUUUGCUAACAGCAGCAUGAAAGCAGAACUCCGCAGUGGCUGCAGCAAUGGCAGGGGUUUGCUUUUAGCUGAGUGGUAUCGGUCACUUCAGCCUUUUGAGUUGAACUGAGAAUGGCAGUGCUAUCUGCCAAGAGAAGCAGCUUGUAAAAGUUGUAUGAUGUUGCUUUUUUCAUGGCAGACCUGAAAAAUUCUGUACAUUAAACUUCCAGCCAAUGCUUGAUAUACAUUUCCCUGAUUGCUGUGUGUGAAAGGCUUGUUUUUGUGUUAGUACUGCAGGGUAACACAUAAGACCAUGGAAGUACAAUGCGCUUUCAUCCAGAUGAGGCAGAAUUUAUUUAGCUUGAAAGAGUGUUUUAUUGCAGUAUGAAAGUGUCACUUCAGGUUUUUAUCCUGUUUUCUACAGAGGAGGAAUAAACUGUUUCCAGGGUCUCACCAGAAGAUAAAAUUCCCGUGGCUAGUCAAUGGCAAUGUGCUGGAGACUUGGAAAGCUUCAGCAAACCACAUCCUUUCACCCAGAGAGCAUGGAUAGAGCAGAGGAACCUCGUUCUGGUGGCUUUGGGUACCCCAUUACCCUGACCCAUCAUAGUGCUAGCUGACUGCUGGCCCAGGAGCACCAGGGAUGUGAGCACUGGGCGCAGUGCUGUGCAGCCUUAAGAGCCACACCCUGAAGCCAAGAGCAGAGCUGAUGUGCUGAGGCUUCCCAAACAGUGUUUGAUGUCCAGAGGACACCCUGAAAAUGCGGCUGUUUCUGCAAUCUCCUUCCAUUCUCAGCUCCCUUGCCAUCUCAUCUGAAAACAGAAACUUCAUGCAUGCUUCAUGCUUGUGUCCUCUGAGGGCUUCCAGGGUCUCCCCAGGGACAGAGCCAGCAAUCCUGCUGAAAUAAGAGAGUGCUACUCCCUCCUUCUGGCUGGUAUCAGUCUUCUAAGUCACUAUCAUUUAUUUUAGAGCAUUCACUGGGGAAGUGAGUGACCUGAGUUCAGUGCGUUCCUCAAUCUGCUCAUCUCUCACUUCCCAUGAGACGGUCUAAAAGCCAGCCCCCAGUUAUUCUGGGUGAAACCCUUUGGCAUGAAACCAUGCCUCCCAGUAAUGGGGUGUUUCUGCUUCCUGUCCCACUGUUGGUCAGCAGGUUGUUUCAGAGUGAAGUGAUCAGGGUUUCGUGUUGUGAGGAACCCAGGGUACAGUUGUCUCACUGGAAGCUGGAUUGCCAGACCCCACUCCUCUGGGCAUUCAGAGAAGACAUCCCUCUGUCUCUGUGUGCCUGUGAAUGAGAAUGGAAAAAUGCAGCUCCUUGGAGAUGCUGUGCUGGGCUGGUGGGGGAGCAGAAAGUUUGCAUGUGAAUCAGAGAUAGACCAGAGAGUGCAGGUGACUGAGGGGGAGGGACCUUGCUGAAACUGGAAUUCAGUUCCUAAGUCAGGUUUAUGAACUGUCCAGUUUUAGGUAUUUGAUUGGUGGUAACUCCUUGAAGCUUGUCUCUGCUUUUGGAUCUGCAUCCAGGGAUCCUAGUGGAUCAGCCAGGAUCUCUACUGCUGCUCUGAUAAACGUUUCCAACGUUUAUUAAAUGUGCUCUCUGACGUUCUUUUGUGGAGACAGUAAUUUGACAGUCAUCACGUGAGAAACUCUGAAUUUGCCAUCUGGCCUGGCAAGACUUAGUUCUUCUCACCAUUAAUUAAACUGACGUUACUGCACGCUUUUAUGAUGGUGGUUAUGAUCUGUCCUGCGAUAACACCAGGGCUGGUUCUGAGGCAUGCACAGCACCUUCCACUCUCAUGACGUUUGUGGGUGGUGCAGCCGAGCACCUCUGGACUUCAGUGUCAGCUCUAAUAACUGAGUUUCAGGGCCCCACUCAGGCACCUUCCUCUGGAGCGGGUUCUUCUGGUUCUGAGGGGAUGGUUUCACAAGUAGGAAGACAUAGCUGGGGGGAAAAAGGGGGCAGCUGCUUGGCUGUAAUAGAGUUCUAUAACAUGCCCUGACAGGAGACCUUACUGACCACAGCUUCGCCCUGCUUGGUGAGACCGUGACCAUUAAUGGGAAAGUGGAUUGGCAGCAACAGAUAGAGCAGGGAGCAAAAAGAGAGGAAGGAAGUGAAAUAGGACAACAGCUGAAGACAGCUGCGAAAAGCAGGCAGGUACAUCGUGGUGGCGACUGGAGUGUGGAAGAAGGAAACUAAGCUGCUUUGGUGAUGAGGCAAGGUGUCUGUAUCCUAUCUGGAAUGGACAUGUGUGGAGGUGCCCAGCAACUUAACAUGUUUGUAAUCCCCCUGGAGACCCAGCUCCAGGUGCUGGAUGGCAGAGUGUUUCCUGUCUUCGGUGGUCUCCAAACUGUGACUUGGCAAAUGAGACUGGUAGGUUUGAAAAAAAUGCCGGAGUACGAGGCUUGGGAGAAGUCAUUCCCAGAACUAACUCUUGCCAUUUUUCUCUUCCCUGUCAGAGCCUUGAAUGCUCAACUGCUCAGAGUUAACUCAGCAGCUUCAAGAGAUUCAAUAAUAUUUGUUUUUACCCAAAUCCCUCGAAGUCUGAGGGAAUGGAGACAGAAUCAGUUUACUGGGAUGAAAAGCCAAGAAAAGUAAAUCAUCCUUGGGUCAGGGUGAGCUCUCAUUUGAAGAGGCCACAGAUGGCAGAGAUGUUCAUGAAUCAGCAGUUUCACAGACCUCUGCCCAUUCAGGGAGUAAUGCGUGUAAACAAACAUGAAAAUGGCACAGAGCCGCAGAGCUUUCCAGAUCCUUCCUGCUCCCUCCAUGCAGUUGAGGGGGCCCUCCUCAGAGGAGCCAGAUAGAAGAAAAGAGCUGCUGCCCUUGACUGUGGGCUUGUCCCAGGAUGGUCAUCCUAUACCUGCUUCAGCUGUGCGAGAGCCAAAGGCUAGAGUGACAGCGGGGUGUCCCCUCUUCUCCCAUAGUGCAGCCAGGUAUGCUCUUGAGGACAGGAGGCAGCUGCUGACUGGCCUGGUGGCAGGCGUUUGGAGUUAUCUGAGAUGGAGGGAAGGAAGGAGAGGUGAGGUGAGGACGUGAGCUAUUACACCAUUGCACUGCUGCAGGUGCAGGACAGCUCCUGUACAUGUGGGCUUUGGGAGGUGGGCCUGCCCCUGGUGUGCUCCUGCUCUUUGAUAUGUGCCCUGGAUCCACACGCCGAUGAGGCUGGGACCUUGGAAGCCCCACAGAGCUCUAGCCUGUCUGGUGUUAGGGACAUUCUUCCCGCAAUUAUCUGAUGUUUGUCAAAUGUUGUGCCAGAAAAUGCAACUAGAGGGCUGUGCUGAGAGCACCCACUUUGGUAGAUCUGUGUUUGUAUUCUAGGGCCUGCUGGCCAAGCGAUGCAGUGCUACUUCCAUGCUGCCCAAGUGUCAGCCUGGGUAGUGCUUCUACAAGAAGAUAACAUGUAAGUGAUGAGAACUGGCCAAGUCAGUGACUGUGCCUGAAUCGUAGUUGAGACUUUGUCAUGGUUUGAACCAUGACAGGCUUUUUGUGAAUAGUCUGUUUGGGGUGAAACACAGCCUGAAUCUUCAAACCGUUAUGUGUGAUGACAGCUGUGAGACUUCUGUUGAAGUCACUAGGCAUCACACAACCAUAAACUUUGGAGUGUGGUUCUGCUGAGGAGAUGCUGCUACUGAGGCUCUGAGACAAAAGGAAGUGAGAGGAAAAUGGACUCUGCUGUUCUCCCAGGAGCAACACCUCACGACGCGCCAAACCUAGCAAUUGUAUGUGAGGAGCAAUUACAGUGGGUGUCACAGGAGAUGUACAGGGACAUCUAAGGCAUUGGGAUUUAUUAUCAGUAAACCAUGUACUUCAAGUUCACUGUGAAGUUGGAGAACAUCUAACCGUGUAAAUGAUCUGAGGGAAUUGGAUGAAGUGAAUUUUGUGACUGUGAAGUUAGACAAGUUAUCAGCCAUGUUUCCAGACAAUAGAGAAGAUCCUGAGAAAGACAUUUCCUGAGAAGUAAACUAACUCGUAUAGUAAUGAAUAGUCAAGAAAGCAGCUGUUUUUAAAAAACAUACAUCCACCAAAUGAUUACAGGUUGGUAUGCUUAAGGAGUGAAGAAAUGUGCAAAUUUUUUGGUGUUGCUCUUCUGAGGGUUUCUUUUGCUGGUGUCCAGACUCUGGCAACAUUAUCUUAACCUACUUUGACUGUCAGUGGUAGAAGGUAGUAGCUGGGGUGGCCGAGUGCACAGUGAGAACUGGCACUGUGCGGUGACAGAGCAGACGUGCUGGGGGUGGCUGUGACCUGGGACCCAGCAGCUGGGGGCGAGCGCCUGGAAGAGGAUGUUUCUGACUGGUGCUACCUAGAGAAAAAGCAGCCUGCUGAUGAGAUCACCUUAGGGCAUCAGGGUUUAGAAAGGGGUAGAAGAAUGUGGGACAGAAAUGAGCAGUACAGAGCAAUGACAUGCUUGAUGAGAAGCCAGCCUUACUGAGUGAGCACAGUCACAGAAUGAAAAGCUGCCCACUGGGCAGAUACCAGUGAUCGUAGCAUAAGCAGGAAAAUGGCAUCAAUCUAGACACAGUGCUUUUUGUGACUCUUAAGGCGUUGAUGGAUGAAGACUCAGUGAAGAGAAGCUUCCUUUUUCUUAUGUUUUGACAUCUUUCAGGCUUAAACAUGAACUAACUACCAUUAUCCUAAUUUUACAGAUGGGGACAGACAGGUUAUGUGACAUGCUCCAGGUCACAUGAGCAGUGUGUGUCAGAGUGAGAAACAGCACCUGGAUCUCUCAAUUGUGAAGCUGUUGCUCUUGGCGCUGCGUCAUCCCGACUGCAAACAAAACACUGAGGUUGACUUUGCCUGUGUCCUUAUGCCUACAAAUGGUUCUUCUGUGAUACCAGAAGAUGUUGCCCCCAGAUCGUGGCCUGGGGACAAUGUGAACAGCUCUGUUCUUUAUGCUGGUACCUGAGAGCAAUUGCUAGAAGUAACUUGGCUCUUCCCUGUGUUUCGUGUGUGUGCUUGGUGUGCUGAGUGGUUUCCAAAGGAACUUUCUGAGCAUUGAAGCAAAUGGGGAAACUGGCUGUGAAGCAGUUGCUGCAUGCCCACCUGCCUGCUUUAGAGCCAGCAGUCCACACCAUGUACCCAAGGCAAGCCUGAUGCUUCUGCACAACGUCCAAAACUGUCAGUGUUGGGACCAUAGACUAAUAGGAAAACUUAAAGUUUUUAAGUCUGCAGACACCCCAGCACAACAGCUCCUCUGGAAGGCGUGCUGUGGACCAUCCAUGAAGUCUGUACCACCCCAGUUUGUUUUGGACAGGAGACAAUGUUACAGGCUAUUCUAAAACCAAAGUAAGUGACAUCCACAACAUCCCUAACUUGUUUAUCCAGCACGUCAUUUCAGCACAGAAGACAACCAUGUUGGCCAGGUACAGUUUGACCUUAGUAAAUCCAUGCUGCCUGUUCUGAGUUGCAUUCUUGUCAGUGUGUUUGGAAAUGGCUUCCAAAUGAAUUUGCUUGGUAAUGUUCCCGGAUAAAAAAUGUACUGAUACCUUAAAAAUGAUAUCUAGCUCUUUGCUAAUGCUUAGGCUAAUCCCUUUCAGAAGAAGCCAGUUGAUUACAUGUGUGGAGUUUGUGACACCUACAGCAUGAGCCUGAUGUGCUGGUUGAGGGAAUUUUUGGUAGGGAGCGGCUGAGCAGGUCAAAUUCAGAAGCAACCUAAGCAGGACACACCUACUACUCCUCUGUUGGGAUUUCCUUUCUUCCCAGCCUGGCCACCAAGAGUGACCAUCCUAAUGUUGUUGCUAUGGCUUUUGUGUUACCAUGAAGCAGUUCUAAACAGAAGAAACAAGGAGGAACCAGAUCAACGGAUGGUAGAGUGUGGUAUUGUCUGACCCUGGCACCCAGCAGGGAUUUGACUGGUUUUGAAAGAGGAAGAAAUAAAAAAGAAGGUUAGCUGUUUGGAGAGUUGGGUGCAGGCCUGGUCAUUUCUAGAGAGCAUGAGUAUUUCAGUCAACAGGAAGGGUCAGGCACUUGCCAAAAUACACAUUAGCACAAUGGCCUAUAGCAGGUUGAAUUCACAGAAGACGGUUGAGUUUCACUAGGUAUGGCUCUGGCAAAGCCUUUUUCCUGCUCUGGCCCUGCAGUCCGACCUGGUGACUUUUCAACCAUUUUCUUUCUUACUUUCUAUCAGCAUACUUAUCUAGCUAUUGUAGUUCAGGCCCUUGUGAACCAAUCUGGUAUGCCCUUGGGUGACUUGAAGCUCUCUCCUUGUGACAGAUAACAGCACUUGUUCCCAGCCAAGGCGACACCUCUGAAGUCUUCUGAAUCACUCCUUUUGUAUGGAAAACUCUUGGUAAUGCUAGUCAGAACAGUGGAGGGCUGGCAGGAGUCACUGGUGUGUUCACAGCUGGAAAGUUUGGCAGACCAGAUAUGUCCCCUGUAACUGGAACUAGAGCAGGUAUUUGCAACUGAGGAAAGAGGCAGGAAGGUGCAGUGGUGGGAGGCAAUGAGCCUGAGUGCAUGAGCAUUGCACAUGGCUUGCUAAUUAGACAAAAUAUAUUUAAUCCUGUCAUCUUUUACUGUACCCAUAUUAAUGUGAUUGAGCAGCUGAAUUUCUGCCUCAUUUGCGAUCUUCUUACCUAGCGCAUUAGAAAACUUUCAGCAGUGGCACACAGAAAAGCAAAUAGGACAUCGGUGUAGUGAUAAGCCUGCUGUGCAUGUGCAAAUCCAUGUGCAUCUCUGAAGGAGACGCAGUCUCAGGCGUGUUUGGCUAAGGUUUAUAUUGCUCUGUACGGCAGGCUGAGGUUUGAAGGUCUGAAGGUAAGUGUGUGUGUGUACCUGCAUGCUGGAGUGCAGUCCCUCAUGCGCUAAUGAAAUCUGACUUGCUGGGUCACCCUCCUGCUUCAUUUGCAGUGACACAAUAUCAUUUAAAGUUGUUUGCUUAUUACAGAGAUAAUAUCACAAGGUGUGGUGCCCUGAUGGGAGCCUAGCAAGAAAGUAACACUCAUUCACCCACCCACCUUUGGCAGAUUGUCUGAGGGUCCCUCAUUGGCUUCGUGACGGAAAGUGGUUGAUUCACCUCCACCCAGCAGUAAUUAGGUGUUGCUGCCUAUGGAAGUUCCCAUGUUUGGCAUCGGACUGAUUAAAGCUGUUCUCCUUUGCCCUGUCUGUCAGACCGUCUAAAAUGUCAAUCCCCCUCCUGCUUGCGAGCUCCCUUCUGGAAAGCCCAAGUGAGCUUUUUCUUAAGGUAAAGUAUGAUCACUCCACGAGUAUCUCACGGACUGCAAUCUGUCCUGGCUUGUCAGGUCUUCAUCGGAAAAGGAUUGCAUGGGUUGAAAACCAAAGCACACGCUGACUGCCGCUUUAGUCAGUGGGAGCACUCGUGAACAAGUUGGUUCCUUUCCCAGAGUUGUUCUUAAAGGACAUCCCACAGAAAUCUGCUCUCAGCCAGUGCCUGCAGAUGUAGCCCUCUCCCACUUGCAUGAAUGCUGUGCACUUACCUCUCCUGCACCCCAUUAAUGGAUCGAUUACUGGACUGAGCCCAGCUGUGUGAUGGUGCUGGCACACUCAGCAGGAAGCAGCAGUUCUUGCUUUGAGCAUCAGCCAUCACAGAGGACCUGAGCAAUGAACUGAGUGUGUAGAUUUAUUUGCAGGGUGAGGGAAGAGUAAGGUAGGCGCCUUUGACACAUGGAUGGACUGGGAGAAGGGGCUUUGCUGGAUGCCUUAUGACUGCCUGUGGGAGACAGCUGGAAAAGGUCUUCUGUUUCCACCACAUGGUAAGAGCAUCCCCUCAGGAGUGUCCCUGCUUCUGCCCACACCCAGCAAAGCCUUGGGCCCAGCCUGGCUCAGAGCUCUGCUCCCAAACUCACAGUGCAAGCAGUGUCACACAGACUGCAGUCCUCAGUGUGACAUCGGCAUUGCUGGCCACCACGGAUUAGGCAUGAGCUUUUUCACCCUGCCGAAGGUGCCUUUGGGGUCUUCAACCCAGGUGACAGCAGGUGAAGGCUGACAGCGCCUGCUGUUCAGCUGGAGGGAGCUGAUGGUGCCAGGCUGCAGGGGCAGCUGGGUGACACCACGUAAAGAGCAGCAAGUUGCUGGCCAUCUCAGCAGAGGGGGGAGGGAGGCCAUGACCUGCUGCUCCCCAUUGCAGGCACAGCCUUGGUGGCAAAAUUUGGCUGCAGCAGAUGAGAGAUAAGCCCUGCGUGUAAUCACACCACACAGCCUCCAGGAGAGAAGCGAAGGCUGCAUUCUGCUGUAGGCAGAAUGGCACCCAGCCCCUACCUGCACAGUUGUCAUUGCCAAGGAGACACCAGGUGAACUCAGGAAAAGUGAAACAUCGUGAGAAAAAAUGGGGAAUGAACCAGAGAGACAGAAUCUUACAAUAACACCAAUGUAAACACAGGCCUAGUUUUUAUCUUGUGCAGAGAGAUUGUUUUUGAGAACAAAUGCAGAGUGAAAUGAAUUCAUAGACCUCUGUACCAGGUGCAAUCAUUAGUCAGUAAAUGAAUUACACAUAAUUAUCUGCUUUGUAUUUAAUUCACUUGGCUUCCAGUUUCUUACUCUUCGUACAGUGAAACUCUCUAUCUCUCUCACACAAACACACUCUCCAUGGGCAAGGAGGUUUUGGAGGGCUGCCAUCACCCUGACUCAUGAAUCAGACUCCAUGAUUUGAAUGAUAUUUAUCUAAGCCUGCAAACAAAGAAGAUGGCUAUGUGUCCAAUGAGAGAAUAAUUAUUGUUAUUAUGUUUAUAGAGUAACAAAGUUGGGAGUUAGGACCCCGGGGGAAAGGUGGCAGGAAGGGCGAGCUGGGCAGAGGCAGGAGGCUGUAGGCAGUGUUUCAGUGCAGGGAUGUGCCAGGGCCUUAGCAGGGCUCCCCGCUUCUGAGUCACCUCUGCCAGGCAUCGCUCAGCGGCCACGGCAGGCAGUGAGGUGAUGCCUGCUUCCGUGGGAUGCUGCCAGGGCUUUGGCAGCGGCUGAAAACUUGGGGUUGGCUCAGAGCAUCCUGCACAGGUCCAUCACCAGGGGGACAGAGGACAUGGAUAUGCCUGUGUGGCACAUCCAGGAAGGGAAAGAAACCUAUAACGGGGAAAAGUGUCCUUUGCAGGUAGCGCAGCUGCUGCCACAGCAGGUUGCUGAGACGCAAAAAUGUCCCUUGGCAUGGCAGCGGGCUCACCUUGCUUUGUGACUUCAGUGCAAGCGUGGGCAGAGGAGGGCUGCUCAGUGCCUGGGAGAGCUCUGGGUGCUGUGACAGUGCCAUGUGUGAGCGAGGUCAGUGCUCUGUGCAUCUGUGGCAGUGCUGGAGGAGACUGCCUGUUGGGGCCAUCUGUGGCAGGCAGUAAGCUUGGGAGAACAGGUAACUUGAAUCCCGUAUUUCUAAAGUGUCACUAAAGCUUCAUCAUGCCCUGUGACACCGCUGAGGUUACAGGGACCCACCCCUGCCAGGAAGGGCAUCUGAUGUGUGUGUGCCUGCACAAAGCUCACUCCUCUCUGUUGGGCCCAUGGAGCAGGCCUGGUCCCACCUGUGUUCACAGCUGAUCACAGGUGAUGGUGACAGGUCUCUCCUUUGGCUUGGCACCACCAAGCAGCCCCUGCCCAGCACAGCCAUGGCUCUUUCUACAGAGCCCAGAGAUGAAUACCAGACUGAAAGUGCCUUCGUUUGUGAUUAAGUGCCAGCCAUCAUAAAGGCAAGUGGCCCUUCUGUUGAGAGAAUCAGAAAUCUAAGUACCGUUUACCUCUAUUAACACAGCUUUAGAUGGUAAAGGCGGAGUCACCUUUCAGCCAUCUGUAAUCCCCUUUAAGUUACAAUACAAAGUCAGGGAGACAGCAGCACAGACAGCCAGGUGAGAACACCCAGCAAGGCAGCAAAUGUAGAACAAAUCCCACAUGGGGAACGGACCAUCCUGCUCUUGUUCUGCAAGUAUUGGUGUUAAAUGCUUCCAAAUUUUGCCCCUGUUAUUGAGAAGGGGAUGAAACCAAUAACUACUUGAUAAUCAGUGCUGCAAAAAAUGCCACUAAAAAUGGAAACUAACUCGAUGUUACUCCAAUCAAAACACUUGUGGAAACAAGUUUCAUCUUGCUGGAUGUUUUAACUGAUAAAUAAAUUCAUGUUAAUAUCCCAGGAAGAAACAUGGAAAGGCUUUGACCAAUGAAGUACUGCCAGUGCAAUGGUACGAAAUGAUCCUCUGGAUCACAGAGCAUUCCUUGGGGGACAUGUCUUGCAAGCGCUGGCUUUUUUAAACUGCAGUAAAUCUUCCUUACUUAAUUCCCUUUUCAGAAUAACUUAAAUUUUCUGGAGUAGGUUGAUAGAAAAUAUCUGUGUGGUAACAUUAACAGCCCAGAGGGAAAAAAAAAAGAGUUUUUAUAGGAGAGCAAUCAAAAUAUUGCUGAGACAGGACUGGCCACGAGAGGAGAAACAGUGGUUUCUGGACUUUUGGUAAAGCCCAGGAGUCCUGCACCAGGACUUCCUCCAUCUCACAGAACUGCUGCAUGGCCCUGGGAACGGCUCCCAAAAUAUGUUUGUUUAUCAGUUGGCCUAGUAAAAAUAUUACUGCUCCCCACACAUUUUGUCUACAAAGCAUCUGAAUGCCCUUGAGUGGAGGAGGUGAAGGAGGAGGAGAAAUAGUCCAGCACUGGUCUCCGUAAAUAAUACUGCAUAGGCAGCAGUUCCUGCAUCUCUCACCCUCUCUCACUGAUGCACAAAGGCUUUAUAUUAUUGUUAGGAGGAAAACAUCAGGCAAUACCCAGCCUGAGAUGGCAAGCAGUCCCCCUGCUUAUGGUCUCAGAGAAAUAAUGCCAUGACGCACGAGAACAACAACGCCACAAAUCCUUCUUUCUGAGCAGGUUGACAGAAAGCAGCAGUGUGAGGCCAUAGCUGCUGCUUCGUCACAGACACCACAUCCAGCACACCUGCUCCUGCACACCUUGGGGCUGCUGCUGGACAUAAUACGCCUUCAACUUUUCUUAACAUUGCAACACAGAUGGCAGCUGGCUUUGUACAUCCGAACACAGUCGUACUGUCGUGCGCCACAAGACCACAGAGCAGCCAUGUUCCUCACUGUCAAACCCAAGGAGGUUUCUGAAAAACAUCACUCUGCAGAUGGCAGAGCGCAGCCGUGGGGCCAGCAGUGGCCUAAACAUUGCAGUGUGGGCAAAGCAAGUUCAGGGCUGCCUACAGCUGCCUGCAGAGAUGCACUUUUUCAGCACAUUGUGUGCACUGACCAUCAGGUCCCUUCUCACUGUGAGUACUGUCUAUUAUGGAUCGCUAAGGAAAUAUAAAUUUCAAAUUCCUAGAGGAAUUUUUCCCAAUUCACAAGCUGUUCAAUGUUAACAAAGUUAUACGUUGGAGUCAGUGACAAAAGAGCACAGGUUCAGCAGCAGAGAUGUGAGAUAAGCCCUACAGCUGCUGGACUUGUUGAGUUACUCCAGUGAAGCCAGACAAGUAAUGUACAGAGUAUUUUAAUAGUCUGUACUUGUGGGGAUUGUACUAAUUUUUCACGAAGAUACUGAAGUAAUUUACAAUAGCAAUAUUGUUUACCAGCCCAGGGAAGGUUGCAUCACAGAGCCAUGUGUGCUUUGGAUGGCUUAGAAGGGGAUGGAGCGAAGGAGUGGAAAGAACCACAUCCUUCUCUUGAUCACAAAUCACUCGUGUUUGUACCUGAAAGACCAUAAAUGUGUC